AUCCUGACCUGGCAGGAGAGAUGCCAUGAUUUCAAAGGUGGUUUUCCCAGGACGAGGCUUAUCCGUGGCACUCCGGAUCUGCUGACUCCUGCCAUUUCCCCAAAUGCAGGAAACUUGACUGCAGAAUUUAUGGUAGUGGGGGACUGUGUUUGCUCUCCCCUG